UGACUCCAUGGCACUCUAGCCCGGGCAACAGAGUGACACUCUGUCUCAAAAAAAAAAAAAAGAGGUGACUGGUUAGGAAGGACUCUGCCUUCACGAAUGGAUUAAUGCUGUUAGCACAGAGUGGGUUUGUCACAAAAGCGAGCUCAGCCUCUCCUUGCUCUCUCUCAUGCUCUCUUGCUGUGUGAUGCCUCACCAGAUGUGGCUCCUCUGUCUUAGACUUCCCACCCUCCAGAACCGUGAGCCAAAUAAACGUCUAUUGUUUAUAAAUUACCCAGUCUGUGGUAUUCUGUUGUACCAACACAAAAUGAUCUAAGUAUAGUGUUUAAAAUUUGUUUUGAGUUGACUUUAAAAAAAUCAGUAUCGUUCACUGAAAAAAAAAAAAAAUCCAGAUUCCAGUGUCAAUGUCAAAGGCCACCAAGAACAUCCCUAAAAUUGAACAAAGUUGGAUUCAUGGACUCAUUGCAGUGGGGGAGACAACACAAUAUGGGGAACUGUGAGGUGUCCCAGAAAGAGAGUGUGGAAAAUAAUUUAUUGUAGCACAUAUGCUUGUGUUAAGUUUCAGGGGACAAUUCGAAGGAAGGAAUUUUGCUCUGGUUUGGAUGCUGUUUGGGAGGGCAGGUUACACUAUGAUUGGGUAUCUUAGUAAUUUUUAUCUGUAAGGCGGGAGGAAAGCAGCAAGACUAAAUAGUUUGGAUAAUGUGCUUGUUUUUGUCUGUCUUCAGACAGGAGUAAAGAGUGGUCUUGUUUUUGUCUGAGCCAUCACAGUCACAGUGUGGCCUUGUCUCUGCAAUGGUGUUCUAUAAAAUUGUUUGUUCAUUAAGAGAAAAUGACAGCCUACCUGUGAGUGUCAUUCCAGCUCCUGCCAACAUCGAGGCCUGGAGGACAGUGCAGGGCCUGGGCUGGGCCAUGAGGGUCUGCUUUCCCUGUUCUGUCUCCUCUCUUGGCCGAGACAGAUGGAGUUGGGCCUCAGGACUUUAGUCUAUUACCCAGCCCUUCACCACUGCCACGGUUUCGCUCAUCAGGAGAUCAUGGAGAAAACGUCUACAAUUGGAUGAAGCAUGGAGGAGUUGGCUAGGAGUCAGAGAGCCAGGCCUGGGGAUCCCCCACCAGCCAGGACCAGAAGUUCCUCCUCCUGGGACAGGUUCAGAGUCUGCACCUAGAGAAGCCAGACACAGACCCGUCAGGGCAAAUCAGCCAGGGGGGUUAACUUCGUAAGUCCCCCCUCCUCCUGCCUUUUCCCUGUGUGUGUCAGCCCAAAUGCCACAGUGAUGUUGCCCAAGCUGUAGAACUCUGGAAGAGUUUUUGAGAUCAUCUGAGUCGUAACAUAGGUUCCCUGGCUCCCAGGCCAAACCUGUGUACGUGUAAUCCCCAUGGUAACCACAAAUAAAAUAGAUAUUGAAUAUAUACGAAAGGAAUUUAAGCAUUUCACUACAAAAAAGAAAUGAAACAUAAAAGGCAGUAAUGCAAGAAAUGAGGGAUAGUAAAACCUAUAAGGCAUAUAGAAAACAAAUACCAAAAUGACAAAAGUCCUUCCUUACCAAUAAUUAAAUAUAAAUGUGUUUAACUUUUCAAUUAAAAGACAGAUAUUAGCAGAAUUGAUAAAAAAA